rnacentral:rRNA from 1 species
AUACGGAGGGCGCAAGCGUUAAUCGGAAUCACUGGGCGUAAAGCGCACGUAGGCGGCGAGAUAAGUCGGGCGUGAAAGCCCUCGGCCCAACCGAGGAAUUGCGUUCGAUACUGUUUGGCUUGAGUCCUGGAGAGGGUGGCGGAAUUCCGGGUGUAGGAGUGAAAUCCGUAGAUAUCCGGAGGAACACCGGUGGCGAAGGCGACCUACUGGACUGUAACUGACGCUGAAGCACGAAAGCGUGGGGAGC